rnacentral:rRNA from 1 species
AACGAACGCUGGCGGCAGGCUUAACACAUGCAAGUCGAACGCCCCGCAAGGGGAGUGGCAGACGGGUGAGUAACGCGUGGGAAUCUACCCAGAUCUUCGGAACAACUGAGGGAAACUUCAGCUAAUACCGGAUACGCCCUACGGGGGAAAGAUUUAUCGGUUCUGGAUGAGCCCGCGUUGGAUUAGCUAGUUGGUGGGGUAAUGGCCUACCAAGGCGACGAUCCAUAGCUGGUCUGAGAGGAUGACCAGCCACACUGGGACUGAGACACGGCCCAGACUCCUACGGGAGGCAGCAGUGGGGAAUAUUGGACAAUGGGCGAAAGCCUGAUCCAGCCAUGCCGCGUGAGUGAUGAAGGCCUUAGGGUUAUAAAGCUCUUUCAGUAGGGAAGAUAAUGACGGUACCUACAGAAGAAGCCCCGGCUAACUUCGUGCCAGCAGCCGCGGUAAUAC